GUCUUUCCUGGGAUCAACACUAUAUCCUGGACCCUCAAGGUCAGCAGAGCUGCCUUCAGAGUGAGGAGAGGCGACAAGCAGAAAGCUUGCAAAACCGGUGAAAUCCCAGGCGACACUGGCAGGUGGAGGACUUUCCCCAACUGCUGCGAAUUCUAGAGGGAAAGAUAAGAACAUAUUAAUCCUCUGAGAGCAAGGCUGUAGCCAACAGGUGGCAAGGCCCAUUCCUGCACAGAAGGCAGCUGCUGGGAGCGAGAAAGGAGGCCAGGAAAAGAGAGCUUCAGCUGAGAACCGGGGAUUCCAAGCACCAGGGGGAGAGGGGAAAAUUCGAUUCACCUCCAACAUUGUUCUCUAGAACAGGCCUCUCCUAGUGUAGCUACAUCCUGCAAACCUCCCCAGAAUCCAACACCUCUCCCCCAAAAAGGCAAAAAAUGCAGUGAUUUAGAUGCUUAUUUUAUGUUCUUGGAUAUCCUGCUAAAAUAAAUUCAUUGAAAGCAGAAGAGACUCAUUCGUGUUUUUGAAACCCCUACAUGAAAUGCUUAACAAGUAUUUCUACAAUGUGAUCCACUGUAAAAUGUUGGUCUAUCGAUACAGAAUCCAUUCUGGUCUUAUCUCCCUAAAGAAAGCAAUGGAAAUCUAUCGAGCCAAAAAUGAACCAAGCCAAGUGUUAAUUCUUCACAACCCCCUGGCUCCUGUAGAUUCCAGAACCUGCCAUUGACCAACUUUGACAAUUAAGCUUUCCCAGUGGAGGCUUCAAAAACACUAGUGAGUCUCUUUUGCUUUCAGUGAGUUUAUAUUUCAGCAAAAAAUCCAAGAGCACAAAAUAAGCAUCUAAAUCACUGCAUUUUUUUCUUAUUUUUUGGUGGGGAGGGCAACGUCAGAUGCGGGGGAAUUUUGCUGGAUGUAGCCUUGAUUGGCCUUGAGCCAUGGACAGUUAAGAGAACUGCAGGUAUGUAUUCAAACAGAUAUUUGAUUAAUGUUUAUUAAUUUCCCAAGUUUAAUGACACACACUCACACAUACAAAUAUACAAUGAAUACACAUGCUUUUUAUGUCCUCAAACCCUGGGAAACAGAUUGCUGUAAUGUGAUCAGUCACCCAUAGUUGCUUUGUGAACACAAACUACCACACUUCACAAGAACUCACUGAACAUAUCUAAAAGUGUCAGAACUGAGACUCACAGCUAGGAGCCUUGACUGUUUAGCCACCAGUAAAGACAGCUCAUCUCUGCCCCACACUCACCCUACCCCAUGCCAUGUCCCUGUAAGGUGCUGUGAAUCUCAGGCAAAUGUCCAUGUCAGCAGCUCUCUGUGGAGCCUGCUGUCUGUCUGAACAAGGGGUAGAAAUUCUAACCUCUUCUUCCCAACAGUCCAACCCUGUCCCUCAUCACAACUGGUAUGGGGCUGCCCCCUGGAGGUUUAAGAACGCCUGUUCCCUUAAAGGCAGGCCACAGAGGCAUUUCAAAUUUUGAAUCUGGAAGAGAUCAUCUGACCCCUCGCAUAGGAUAGAGCAGCUUCAACAUUGGGAAUCAAGUAGCACAGAUGCAAUCAUUUUCGGAGAUCCCUCCCAGCAAUGCAAGACAGUGGGAUUCAUAGUAAAUUUCUCAUCAGGGAACUUACUGCAGCUUUUGAAACUGGGAAAAAGGGCUUUAAGUUUAUCUAUUAGUAUCCGGAUUGUUCAGGAAGAUAAUUCAUGUCUUGAUGGCACUUAUUGUAUAUCUACUGCAGACAAGACAAUGAGCUUGGCAUUAUCCAUUAGUCGUUUGCUUCCUGAUCACUAUAACUAACCUGUUAAUCCCAAUAUACCUAAUUUCAGGAAAUAAAUUAUCCAAAGUAGCUGCUCAACUUUCUGGUGCUAUGAAAAUGAUUAUGUUUAAAAGCAGUAAUCCUCUGACCUCUUUAUUAUCUGGCAAAUGCAAGUAAACAGGCCAUGCUUUUUGUAUCUCUGCAUAAUCAGUUUCAGUCAACUGGUUCCCCCAAACUAUACACAGUGGAGUCAAACAGCUCAUGCUGAAUAUGGGCACUUGCUGAAUAUGUAGGAAUGAGUGUGUGAGGCUGAGAGAGUAAAUAGUGAUGAGCAUAGACCACCCUGAGUUAUCUCACUGCAUGUGAAAAUCUGUGCAAUUUGGGAAGAGCAUGUGGAAAGUCUCCUCAUUACAGGUCCCUGCUAUU